rnacentral:tRNA from 1 species
GGUCGCAUGGCUCAGUUGGUAGAGCACCUCGUUCACAUCGAGGGGGUCACAGGUUCGAGUCCUGUUGCGACCACCA